CGGGGGAUUACCUGAGAACGGGAGAAACAAACAUGUGUAGGUUCAACAAAAUGAGGAGAAGUUCUCACUGAUCUCUGCACAUACCAUCAACAACAAACUUAAAUUAAUUCAUUGAUAUAAAAAAACAAAGUAACAAAAGAAAAUAGCCUGCAUAAUGGAGGUAGUACCCUUCACCCAGCAACACUCACAACACUCACAGUACCCUCUCACUCAAACGUCCCUUAUUAUAACAACUUGUAACAUUGCACUCUCCAAUAAUAAAUUGACACGUCAUAUAUAUACUACACUCUCCACUACUCUAUGUCUACUAUAAAAUUUACAAAUAAAAUUACUUAACUAACUUCGUCUUAUUUUAAAAAGCAUAAUGUUUUUAUUUUCUUUUUUUUAAUAUAUAAAAAUCUCAUAUAUAUUUAAAUGAUUAUUGUCAAUAUAUCAUCUCUUAUAUAAAUCAUAUUAUUAUUUUCAUGUUAAUUCUAUAAAUAAAUCAUUUUUAAGAAAUCAUUUGUUACUAAUUAUUAAUCUAAUUUAAUUUUAUACAAAUUAUAAAUUAUCAGAGAAUGUUCGCAGUAUAAUUUAGAUUCAUCCAAUCACAAAAUAAUAAGAUGUAGAAAAAUUGUUUUUUCGUGUAUAUAUAUAUACGAAGUUAUUUGCUACUUACGUUAUGUUUAGUAGCAAUGAACUUGAUGAUUAGUAAUGAAUUUGUUUCAUUUUGUGCAUUCUUCUGUGUUUGAGUUUGAUAUAUAUAAAAAUCAAAUAAAAAAAUUUAAAAAAAGAAAAAGAACGGGGGAUUACCUGAGAACGGGAGAAACAAACAGUGUGUAGGUUCAACAAAAUGAGGAGAAGUUCUCACUGAUCUCUGCACAUACCAUCAACAACAAACUUAAAUUAAUUCAUUGAUAUAAAAAACAAAGUAACAAAAGAAAUAGCCUGCAUAAUGGAGUAGUACCCUUUCACCCAGCAACACUCACAACACUCACAGUACCCUCUCACUCAAACGUCCCUUAUUAUAACAACUUGUAACAUUGCACUCUUCCAAUAAUAAAUUGACACGUCAUUAUAUACUACACUCUCCACUACUCUAUUGUCUACUAUAAAUUUUACAAAUAAAAUUACUUAACUAACUUCGUCUUAUUUUAAAAAGCAUAAUGUUUUUUAUUUCUUUUUUUAAUAUAUAAAAAACUCAUAUAUAAUUUUAAAUGAUUAUUUGUCAAUAUAUCAUCUCUUAUAUAAAUCAUAUUAUUAUUUUCAUGUUAAUUCUAUAAAUAAAUCAUUUUAAGAAAUCAUUUGUUACUAAUUAUUAAUCUAAUUUAAUUUUAUACAAAUUAUAAAUUAUCAGAGAAUGUUCGCAGUAUAAUUUAGAUUCAUCCAACCAAAAAUAAUAAGAUGUAGAAAAUUGUUUUUUCGUGUAAUAUAUAUACGAAGUUAUUUGCUACUUACGUUAUGUUUAGUAGCAAUGAACUUGAUGAUUAGUAAUGAAUUUGUUUCAUUUUGUGCAUUCUUCUGUGUUUGAGUUUGAUAUAUAUAAAAAAUCAAAUAAAAAAAUUUAAAAAAAAGAAAAAGAACGGGGAUUACCUGAGAACGGGAGAAACAAACAGUGUGUAGGUUCAACAAAAUGAGGAGAAGUUCUCACUGAUCUCUGCACAUACAUCAACAACAAACUUAAAUUAAUUCAUUGAUAUAAAAAAAACAAAGUAACAAAAGAAAAUAGCCUGCAUAAUGGAGGUAGUACCCUUUCACCCAGCAACACUCACACCUCACAGUACCCUCUCACUCAAACGUCCCUUAUUAUAACAACUUGUAACAUUGCACUCUUCCAAUAAUAAAUUGACACGUCAUUAUAUACUACACUCUCCACUACUCUAUUGUCUACUAUAAAAUUUUACAAAUAAAAUUACUUAACUAACUUCGUCUUAUUUUAAAA
rnacentral:lncRNA from 1 species